rnacentral:rRNA from 1 species
UACGAAGGGGGCGAGCGUUGUUCGGAUUUACUGGGCGUAAAGGGCGCGUAGGCGGCGCCGCAAGUCGCGUGUGAAAGCCCCGGGCUCAACCUGGGAGGUGCGCGCGAGACUGAUGGUGCUGGAGUUCGGGAGAGGAGCGUGGAAUUCCCAGUGUAGAGGUGAAAUUCGUAGAUAUUGGGAAGGAACACCGGUGGCGAAGGGCGGCGCUCUGGGCCUGUACUGACGCGUGAGACGCGAAAGCGCGGGGAGCGAACGGG